ACGAACGCUGGCGGCAUGCCUCACACAUGCAAGUCGAACGAGACCUUCGGGUCUAGUGGCGCACGGGUGCGUAACGCGUGGGAACCUGCCCUUAGGUUCGGAAUAACUCCCCGAAAGGGGUGCUAAUACCGGAUAAUGUCUUCGGACCAAAGAUUUAUCGCCUUUGGAUGGGCCCGCGUUGGAUUAGCUAGUUGGUAGGGUAAAAGCCUACCAAGGCGACGAUCCAUAGCUGGUCUGAGAGGAUGAUCAGCCACACUGGGACUGAGACACGGCCCAGACUCCUACGGGAGGCAGCAGUGGGGAAUAUUGGACAAUGGGCGAAAGCCUGAUCCAGCAAUGCCGUGUGAGUGAUGAAGGCCUUAGGGUUGUAAAGCUCUUUUACCCGGGAUGAUAAUGACAGUACCGGGAGAAUAAGCUCCGGCUAACUCCGUG
rnacentral:rRNA from 1 species